UACAGAGGUCUCAAGCGUUGUUCGGAUUCAUUGGGCGUAAAGGGUGCGUAGGUGGCGCCGUAAGUCGGGUGUGAAAUUUCGGAGCUUAACUCCGAAACUGCAUUCGAUACUGCCGUGCUUGAGGACUGGAGAGGAGACUGGAAUUUACGGUGUAGCGGUGAAAUGCGUAGAUAUCUGGAGGAACACCGGUGGCGAAGGCGGCAUCCUGGACCGGUAUUGACGCUGAUGCGCGAAAGCCAGGGGAGCAAACGGG
rnacentral:rRNA from 1 species